rnacentral:lncRNA from 1 species
GCACUGAUCAGGGAGAAUAGGCAGCUAAUGCUGUAAUCCAGAACUCUCAAAAAGCUACAAGCAAGGGUUUUUAUUUGGGGUUUUAGGUAGGGCAGGGGGAGCUGAAGUUCUUGGCGCUGAAGUUCUAAAAGUCCUCGCACAGGCAUGAUUAUCUGUUGCACACGGUGGAGUUUUGGUCUGUGACAUCCAAAGUUUACAAUCAGUCAUUUUAGCUUCUCAAUGCUCGGGCAAGAGGCUUAGGCAGGCAGGAGGCUGUCAGCAAGUUUCUCUGGUAUCAGCGGUCCUCCUGCUGUUCUGCAAGACAAGCUCAGAAACCUUGGUUAUUUUGUUUCCCACAUUAAUCUUGUGGGUACAAGGCACAGUUUCACCACAAUCCAGGGAAAUUCUAACUCCAUCCUCAGUCUCAGGACCAUGGAGCCUGGUUUGGAUGGAGGGAGGGCAGCAGGUGCUCUGAGUGAGGAUGCACCUGAGCCCAGACCCUGGAUGGCCUGCAGGCCAUGCCUACCCCAGUGCCUUCAUGCCCAUGUUGGUGGGGCUUCUCAUUUAAAACAGGGCAGCUGAACUCCAGGACCCAGCAGGCCUCAGCUUCCUCUUUUCUGUUCCUGCCACCUCAACUUCCUGGUUCUACCCUGAGGGGAAGCCCACAGUGGGUUGUGAGGAAAAGAAUUCCCUUAAAGGAUAAGCUAGUUCAUCUCCAAUCAGCAGGGAUGAAUCCCUCUUCAGAGCUAGUCCUCUUGUAGGGUGCUGGGGACUCAGAGACUGUGCCUGCCCUUAGGAGCCCACAGCCCAAGGUAGAAAGUUGCAUCCUUUCCCCUAAGGACUGAGGCAGUGCCAAAAUAUGGAGAAAAAGGGGAUCCCUGCUCCCUCCUCCAGUCCUGUCCCUCACUGCAGGCUCCCACCUCCCCACCAGGGUCCUCUGGCCUCAGAGAGAGCAAGAUGUUGGCUGCUGAGGAGAGGAGGCAGGAAAGGGGAGGGAGGAAGGAAGGAGCCCGUUUGGCGUCGCGUCUCCCAUAAAAACACACUGGUGCUGCCAGCCUGGCGCUGCUGGGGUUAAUGAGGGGUGGGGUAACAGCCACUUUGAACUCUGGCCAGGCAGGCCCCUGGGAAGGGGGUGAUGGGUAGUUCAGUCAGGCCCGGGCCUCUGCCAGCCCUCUAAGGAUAUGGCCACUCCUCCCCUCACCCAGCCCCCCAGCCUCCUCCCCCUCCAUUGCACAAUACCGAUGACUCUUCUCUCCCUACCACCCUCAUUACGGGAAAUUUCAGGUUUCCUCACUAGAACUGUCCCUAGUUCUGGCCCAAGACCCCUGCAGCCAUCGCUGACACUGCGCCUUUCCCUCCUCCCCGACUGCCUGUUUCUUGGAUGCCAGUUGGAUGUAGCUAGAUAACAUCAUCGGAAAGAACUUCCCGAGCUUUUGGGGAAGGAUGAUGGGAAAGAUCACUUAGGGGGAGCCUCUCAACUUCCAACUCAAACUCUGGAGGGUCCCAACUCUGUGCAGCAGGGGUCAGGUUCUGGGGUCAGAGGAGAGAGGGUGGGCUAAGGAGAGGGACCACCACAGACACAAGGACACACACAGACUAUAAGGUAGGGGCUCCAGGGAACACUCUCCUGCUUGGCAUUCCACAGCUGGCCAGACCUUAAGCCGUUGAUUUUCCAUCCCCUUGGGUCUUAGUCUCUCCCUCCCCAAGACAGGAAUAGACUCCACUUGCCCUUUGAGUGCUGCUUGAAGCCACACGGGGUGAAAGGAGGUCCAUGAUGGCUCCUCUCUCUCCAUUCCCUCAAAGGAAUUCUGCAGCUGGUGUUUGGGAGCCUGGGUCUCCUCAUCUGAGGGGAAAAGCUAGAAGCCUAUGCUGAAGCUUCCCCGUGCACACCGACGCCUCACCAUCCAACCUCAGAGAGAAAUUAGGCUCGAAGUAGGCAUAAAGGGCAGAUUUCUCAGACAUUAAGAGCAGAGAAAGAAGCCAGCUGGCUGGUCUCAACGGGUGGGAGGAACUCAGUCAGUGACUGAGUUGAGGAAGAGGAUUCUUCGAAGGAUGGGGGGGUGGGUGCUGGAGAAGUGUCCCCCCUCUUGCUUGAGGUCAGAAAGGGCUCUUUGGGCAGGGUGCCCAGCCCUCCCACACCUUCCUCCUUUCUCAGAAGAGCCAGGAUGGGGCAGGGGUGGGAGUUGGCUGGGGCGGGGUGGGGGCCCUAUUUAAGGAGCACUCUCUGAGAGCAUCACUGCAGAUCCAGCCCCAAGAGCGAGAGGAGCCUUCACUGAUCCAAUGUAAUCACAAGAGUCUUUAAAUGUCGAAGAGGGAGGCCAAAGAGUCGGAGUGAUGUAACAUGAGCGUUGACCAGCCAUUGCUGGCUUUGAAGAUGGAAGAGGGGCGCGAGCUGAGGAGUGCAGGCAGCCUCUAGAAGCUGGAAAAGGGGAAAAAAUGGAUUCUUCCCUGGAGCCUCCAGAAAGGAACGCAGUCCUGCCAACACUUUAAUUUUCGCCAGUGAGACCCAUUUCAGACUUCUGACCUCCACAACUGUAAGAUAAUAAAUUUGUAUUGUUUUAAGCCACUAGGUUUGUGGUAAUUUGUUACAGCACCAAUACGAAAUCCAUACAGCACCUCUCCACUCCUAUUUAUAACUUUGCCCUUCCCCCCAAAUCCCAACACCUGAGCAGUGUCCAAGCCUACCUAUAGACUGACCUCAACCCAGCCUGGAGCUCAAUAAUGGGCCCCUUGGGACUGGCCAGUUUCUCCACCUGUUCCUGCUCUCCCAGGUGGAUCUGGUCACACCUAGGUGGGAGGUGGGGAGGGUGUGAGACCAAGAUGGAACCUGGGAGGGUGAGAAACCUGUAUUUUCAUAUUUGACCCUACAUGCUUGCUGAAGACCUUUGCUGGUCUGGGGAGGAAGUCUGGCAAAAAGAGAAAAAUAAGGCCCAAGCUGUGAGUUUCUCCACAUUAGUUCAUCCUUGAUUCUAGUUAUAGUCCCCAGAUUUUUGGGGUCCCACAGCUUAUUCUCAGUAAAGUGAUCCUGGGGGAGUUGGCUCUAUUUUAUCACUAAUUAGUCAAUGAUUUAGGGCUAAACCAAUCAGCACUGUCAUCCCUCAGGCCGUUGUGAUUGCUUUGGGGUAGCCAUGUGACUCAAUUUGGGCUAACGGGAGCCAAGCCCAGGACUUUGUUCUCUUGUUGGGUGGAGAGGGAAGUGCUCUUUUCCUCCAGGACAGAAGUCUGAAAGAAAGCAUUCUGGAUUGAGAGGUGAAGGCCUGACUGAGCAUGGAGCCACAGAAGAAGUGGAGCCAGGGGACAGAGAGAGAAAUUGGGUCCUGAUUACAUCGUUUGAGUCCUGGACUUUAAAGUUACAC